UAGCUGGUUCUCCCCGAAAGCUAUUUAGGUAGCGCCUCGUGAAUUCAUCUCCGGGGGUAGAGCACUGUUUCGGCUAGGGGGCCAUCCCGGCUUACCAACCCGAUGCAAACUGCGAAUACCGGAGAAUGUUAUCACGGGAGACACACGGCGGGUGCUAACGUCCGUCGUGAAGAGGGAAACAACCCAGACCGCCAGCUAAGGUCCCAAAGUCAUGGUUAAGUGGGAAACGAUGUGGGAAGGCCCAGACAGCCAGGAUGUUGGCUUAGAAGCAGCCAUCAUUUAAAGAAAGCGUAAUAGCUCACUGGUCGAGUCGGCCUGCGCGGAAGAUGUAACGGGGCUAAACCAU
rnacentral:rRNA from 1 species